GGGAAUAACUGUCUUAAUUAAGUUAUAUAGAAAUUACUUAGUGAGUGAAAAAUCUCAUAUAUAGAAGAAAGACGAGAAGACCCUAGAAAUUUUUUACAAGUAUAUUUUACAUAUUCUAUUUUGUUGGGGCGACAUAGUAACAGUUAACUUACUAUUUAACAUGCUAUUUAUAAAUAGGAAGAAUAAAUUACUCUAGGGAUAACAGCAUUAUUCAAUUUGAGUUUGUGACCUCGAUGUUGGACUA
rnacentral:rRNA from 1 species